rnacentral:rRNA from 1 species
UACGUAGGGGGCAAGCGUUGUCCGGAAUCAUUGGGCGUAAAGAGCGCGUAGGCGGCCAGAUAAGUCCGGUGUGAAAGUCACAGGCUCAACCUGUGAAUGCCGCUGGAAACUGUCUGGCUUGAGUCCGGGAGGGGCGAGUGGAAUUCCUGGUGUAGCGGUGAAAUGCGCAGAUAUCAGGAGGAACACCAAUGGCGAAGGCAGCUCGCUGGAACGGUACUGACGCUGAGGCGCGAAAGCGUGGGUAGCAAACAGG